CACGGCAAUCUUGAUUGGCUACUGCAGUCAGGUUAGCUAGAAUAGUCCCUAUACUGUGGGAUUUUUAUUUUUACAAUGUUGCUCACUUACUAAUGUAUAAUUUUAAUGACACCAACAAU